rnacentral:rRNA from 1 species
GCUUACGGCCACACCACCCUGAACACGCCCGAUCUCGUCCGAUCUCGGAAGCUAAGCAGGGUCGGGCCUGGUUAGUACUUGGAUGGGAGACCGCCUGGAAUACCAGUGUGCUGUAAGUU